CCUGAACGCUGGCGGCGUGGCUAAGACAUGCAAGUCGUACGGGACCCGCAAGGGUUCAGUGGCGGACGGGUGAGUAAUGAAUCGCUAAUGUACCCUCUUGUCUGGGAUAGCCGGCCGAAAGGCCGGGUAAUACCAGAUUAUAUAACCGAAUCGCAUGGUUUGGUUCUCAAAGGGAAACCGCAGGAGGAGCAGGCGAUUUCGUAUCAGCUUGUUGGUGAGGUAACGGCUCACCAAGGCGACGACGCGUAGCUGGUCUGAGAGGACGGCCAGCCACAUUGGGACUGAGACACUGCCCAGACUCC
rnacentral:rRNA from 1 species